rnacentral:rRNA from 1 species
UAAAUAGCCCCUCUCGCUUUGGCGGGUGGCAGGCUUCUUAGAGGGACUAUCGGCUCAAGCCGAUGGAAGUUUGAGGCAAUAACAGGUCUGUGAUGCCCUUAGAUAUCCUGGGCCGCACGCGCGCUACACUGACGGAGCCAACGAGUUUAGUCCUUGGCCGGAAGGCCUG